ensembl:lncRNA
CAGUACAGCUUAACUCUCAUAAGAAGGAUGGUUCUGCCACAGGCACGAUUCCUUCCACAGUGGUAGCUUUCUCUGACUACAUCUCAUGACCAGCAGACCACAGCAGCAUCCUCCACUUUGAAAAGGAUGAAACUGAGAAGACCUGCCGGGCCCUCAGCUUCGAUGACUCUUUUUAUGAAGAGGAGGAAUAUUUUCACGUGUCCCUGAGCCUGCCAGUGGGAGGACAGCUGGGAGCCAAAUUCCCACCACCAAGGUAAUCAUCCUGGCUGAUCAUGAAGAUGGAAGGAAAGAAAGAGCAAGCACAAAGAAGUUACAUAAGACUUGGAAAGAAGCCAAGAAAAGGACCUGAGUCAAGUUUCCAGAUUCCCAACCAGGACCACUGCACAAGGACUUUUAUCUUGGCAGCACAGGGAUCCUCUCUGAAAACAGUCAGUAGAUGCAUCUUCAACUGGCACAGAUGAGCCAGGCAUGGUGGCACAUGCCUGCAACUUUUGAAAGAAAAUAGUAAUAAAGACAAGACCAGAAUCAGACUAUAUUACUAGUCUCCUAUUGGACUGAUUGCUUCAUCUCUCAACCACGCUUUUGUCAGGACUAGACAGGCUAUGAGUUGCUGUGCUCAGAUCGAGGCAGCAUUAGACUGGCUUGCUAGUCUUAACCCAAAAUUAAUGCAACUACUUUAUGGAUCCAGCAUAGAACUUCCAUAAAACUGAGAGCUCUGUCAAGAGAUAAGCAGAUGGAGUCAAGUUUGAGCAGUAUAUAUGCUCUCAAGGUGCAUGGGGUAAAUUUAUCAUGUAUUAUAAUGUUUUGUUUGAAAUUGUGUCUUUAAAACAACCAUAGAACAAGGGAAAAUAUGAGUAAGGUCAAAAGUGGUUUUUCAUUUGUUUAUUUUUGGCCUGAAUGGCUUUGCUUGGUGAUAAUGUACCCUACACCCUAUGUACCAGACCUUAGAAAUAGGUAGUAGACCAUUAAAAAG